GCUGGGGGAAGGCAUUUGCUCCAAGUCACAUGGAAAAAUAGAAGCUUCAGGGUGUACAAAUAGCGUUUAAGAAGCAAACACACAUGCUCACCAUCCCCCCAUCCUGCUGGCUUUGAGGCUGUGAUCAAUUCAUUCAGGCUGCUGCCUCCCGCUAAAAGACUUACUCUGUUCUCAUUCACAGCUGCGAGGGGAGGACCCGGGAGAAGGGUGGUGGGAGACCACAGAUCUGAAAGGGGAGGGUGAUCGGGGUUACAGGACUGUUGUUUGUUCCAAAGGGGAAAUUAGAGGAAGAAAAAUAAACAUGGCCAGCCACAUUUUAACCCCAGUGCGCGAGGAGUCCGGGGAUGGACAGGAACCCAUGUGAUUGGGCCACUGAGGAGCUGAACUUUAGAUGGCCAGCCAUGGGAUUCUCCUGCACAUUCAGGUUGAAGAAUCCCUGCCCGAGCUGAUGUUGCCAAAUCCUUUGACCUUCCUGGCUCCUCUUCUCUGGCUGUAGCACUAUCUAUCCAGACCCUAGGAACCACAGGACUUUCCACUUUCCCUUUACCACGAUCUUCAAGGACAGUAGUCAACAAACCUUUCCCAAGGGUAUUUUGACUUUGAUUCCGAAACUUUGUAAACCCAAAGAAAUGAGUCUCUAAUGGUGGAAAUUCAGGCCUGGAGAAAGCCAGUAAAAGAAUCUUGGAGAGAACAUGGGGUGCCUUCCAACUAACCCUCAAAUUCGCUGUGUAUCUGGGAGGCCCCAAAGACAGUUUUUAAAAAAACGUGUUUCCUUAAUUGAUCAGUUCUCAGAAUAGUGACUUGGUUCUUUUUUGUUGUCAUUUUGAAUUCUUGGAUUUUACAAUAUUUGAUGUGUUUCAGCUCAUUGCAGGAUUUUUGUAUGUUUGUUUUGGUUUGUUUUGGGAUGCACAAAUAAUCCCAUUUUAUCCAGUGGGAGCUCCUUCAAGUUGGCACCUGAGUCCUUUUGACAUGCCCCUCGUGGUGUUUGGUCACUUUCUCGCUUUCUGGUUCAGGAUGUUCUGGGCUCAUCUUGUGUAUUUGUUGCCCCAGACCUGGAAACAGGCAAUUCUCCAAGAAGCCUUGGUUCCCUUCAGUGAGAAAAGAUACUUAGAGACCACAGUUUGGGCACUAUACGUGCUCAACCAGAGACAGCUUCUUUUCUUUUUGUUUCUCAAUCUUCUCGAAUAACUUGAGUCUGGGCCAAGUGCAUCUGAAGGACACCACACUCUGCCCCAUUAAGUGUGUUUCUCCUGGAUCCCAGGUUGUCUCUUCCUUGGAGGUGUCAAGAAUUAUAAUUAAGAGUGACUUAGUUGAAUGGUUCUGGCUCAGGGAUUCCCAUGAGAUUGCAGUCAAGACGUCAGCCAGGACUACAGUCCUCCAAAGGCUUGCCUGGGUUGAAAGGGUCUGCUUCCAAGAUGGUGCCCACUUGAGGCUGCUGGAGAGAGGCCUCAGCCCAUCACCACGUGGGCCUCUCCACAAGGCCACUUGAGCAUCCUCACGAGUGUCAGCUGACUUUCCCCAGAGUGAAUGACACAAGAGAGAAAACAAGGCAGAAGCUACAAUGCCAUUUAUGAUCUGAUCUCUGAAGUCACAUACCAUCACUUCCCCUGUAUUCUGUCUUCAGAAGUGAGUCACUGGCCAGACACAAUGGCUCACACCUGUAAUCCAAGCAACUUGGGAGGCCGAGGCAGGAGAAUUGCUUGAGGUCGGGAGUUCAAGACCAGCCUGGGCAGCAUAGCAAGAUUUCAUCUCCACAAAAAAUUUUAAAAUUAACCAGACAGCGUGGUGCAUACCUGUAGUCCCAGCUGCUCAGGAGGCUGAGGCAGGAGGAUCACUUAAACCUAGGAGGUCGAGGCUGCAGCGAGCUAUGAUUGCACCACUGCACUCCAGCCCGGGUGACAGACCAAGACACUGACUCUAAAAUAAAUAAAUAAAUAAACAAUCAAACAUUUAAAAAGAAAUGAGUCACUAAGUCCAGACCAAACUCAAGGGGAGGGGAAUUAAGCUUCACCUUUUGAAGGGAGGAGUAUCAAAGAAUUUUCGGGCAUAGUUUAAAACCACCACAAUGCGAACAGUACAGGAAGUUCUUACUUAACGCUGUCCAUAGGUUCUUGGAAAUUGCAACUUGAAGCAAAAGAACGUAUAGUGAAACGAAUUUUUUUUCUUAUUAACGUUAUAACAAAAUGAUAGUGAAUGAAAUGACACUAUUUGAGGACCCACUGUAUGCCAUUUCACUUGAAGUUGCAGUUUCCAGGAGCCUAUUGACAAUGUUAAGUAAGGACUUACCAUACAGGACAAGGAAUCAAAAUACCUAGUUUUGUUUUGUUUUGUUUUGUUUUGGUUUGGUUUUGGUUUUUUGAGACAGGGUCUCACUCUGUCACUCAGGCUGGGGUGCAGUGGUGUGAUCAUGGCUCACUGCAGUCUCGACCUCCCCGGCUCAAGUGAUCCUCCCACCUCAGCCUCUUGAGUAGCUAGGACUACAGGCACAUGCCACCACGCCCAGCUAAUUUUUGUAUUUUUUUUGUAGAGACAGGGUUUCACCACGUUGGCCAGGCUGGUCUUGAACUCCAGGGCUCAAGGGAUCCGCCUGCCUCGGCCUCCCAAAGUGCUAGGCUUACAGGGGUGAGCCACCGCACUCAGCCUACCUAUGUUUAAUUUUCCUUCUAAACACUGGGGGACUUGGGCAUAUCCCUUCACCUCUCUAGAUCUAUUUCCCCAUCUGCAAAAUGACAGGAUUGACUUGGAUGACUGCUAAGGGUUCAUUUUCAGUUAGCAUGUGUCUCAAUGUUCCAGCACUCAAGACCCUAGGCCUGGACCCCAGAGCUCAGGCAGCUUUUCCUCCACGCCCCCACCUUCCCAGCAGAUCUCGUUGGCUCUCAGCCCCAGGUAUAGCCACCACACAUCAGCUCCUCCAGGUGCUUCUUCCAGGCCUUGUAGCCUCCUCUGUCCCAGUGGUGCCCUGCCCUGGCAGCACACUGGGAUCACUUGUGGAGCUUCGAAAACUCCCUGUGUCCAAGCCACACUGCAGUUCAUCAGCUUGUCCAGGGUCGGGACCAAGUACCAGCAGGUGCAACAGCUCCCGUGACUCCAAGGCCCAGCCAAGGUUGAGAACCACCACUCUAGCUUGAGUGGCCCUUCACAUGUGGAAUCGUUUCAACAAAUAAAAUAACACUGCCCAUGGCUGAGUACUGAUUUGCUCUUUUCCUUUGAGGUAUAUGCAUUUGAGAGCACUCACACUGCAGAGGGUAGAGGUUUUAAUUUACAGUUAAUUAUGUUAGGGGGCUGAUUUCUCUAGGAGACCAUUUUGCCUAGUAUUAACCUAACAGAGAUAUUUAGAGGGGUUUAGGGAAAUUUUUUGUGACCAGGACAGAACUUUUUAUAGACUUCUUUCCCUGGCUCAGGAUUUCUCAUCAAGGUAUUGUUUCUGUGGGAAAAUGGAUUCAAUUUUUAUCUUUUUGACUUACACCACCUUUUCCUAGAAUAUAACCUGCUAUAAGUCUGAACAAUGCCUGCAUUUUUUUUCCUUCUUGCUUGUGCAUGUGUAUGUGUGGGUGUGAGAAAAGUCAACAUUCUCCAGGACAAGGGAGAGCCCAGCGCCGAGAAUGAUGCCAGGCUUGGAGCUCCCAGGCCAGGAGCCGCUGUGGAACGUGGGUGUGGGGCCUGUGUCAGGGCUGAAAGACGUCAGCUGGGCUCUCCUGACCCUCAGCUGAGUGCCACUGUGUGACCAAUGCCCCAGUUUACACAGACUGUAGGGUUUCCUGGGACACAGGACAUUCAGUACUGAAACUGGGAUAGUUCCAGAAAACCAGGAUGGUUGUGGCUCUUUGAGCACAACCCCCCAUCUUUACUGCCUGAACACCCAGUGGGGAUAGGACAGAGCUGCUCUACUAAGGGUGCUGGGUGGCUUCACCAAUAGGAACAGGGGUAGCUACACAGCUUCUCGGGCCAUGAGGCUCUGAGAUGCCAGUUCCCAGAGCCCACGGCCCAGGAAACAGAGCAAGCUCUGCCACAUUGACUUCUAUUGGCAAUCUCCAAACAUCUGAGCUCCUGUCAUGGAGAAAAGGGGAAUGACCUGUCAGCUGUUCCUAGGCCAGUGAUUUGAAAUCCUGGGUGCAUAUGGGAAUCACCUGGCCAGUCCCACCCCCCCGAGAUUCUGAUUUCACUGGGGUGCGGUGGGGUCCAGGUUCACACACAUAUACACUUCUAGACUUUUUCCUUAUGGCCUCUUUCUAGGCAGGACAUUUCCAUCUUGGCCAUGAAAACUUUGUCACUCCUAAACCUCUCUGUUUCUCUUCUUGAGGUUACCUUGAGCUAAAUGGCUUCCUAGAGAAGCCAGACUUUUUCACUGUAUCAGUGGCAGUUGGGUUAUAGAUUAUCUUCAGGGGAAAUUUUAGUUUAUAAAAGCCCAAACCAGUCGUCGUUAUCUAGGAAUGAACUGUACAGCUCGUGGGUGUGGGUCCUUGUGUUGUCCCUAAUCCGACCCCACUCCUUCCGGCUCUCCCCUGAACUCCCUGCGAGCCCAGCUUCAGGAGGUCUCCGUGGCCCCAUCCUCCACUUCUGGUUCCACCCAGUCUCCUGCCUCCCAUAUUUCCCUUUUUUCUUUAGGUUCCCUCUUUGGGACGCAAGAACUGCCCUUGCCCACAGCUGGAGGGGAAGUGGAGGGCCCCUGCGUUGUUCCUGUGGGCCUACCGCGCGGCCAAGCCCGCUAAACUAGGGGGCGAAUCCCCGGCCAGUCUGGAACAAUCACAUUCUCUUUCUAGGAUCUGGGGCUGAGACACAGGGUCUCUGGUUAGCUGGCUGCAUGAGCUCUAUAUCCAGAAGAUCACAAG
rnacentral:lncRNA from 10 species